CCUUUUCUUGUGAGGAAUCCUAUUCGGAAUAAGGGAAUUUCCCUUAAAAAAAGGGAAAAGUUGACAGCUGUGCUCCUGCUCCCAGUCUGCCUACCUCCCCUCUGUCCACUCAAUGCCAUCCCACCACCAAUCCCUGGCUCUGAGCCUUCUUCUCUUGGAGGUUCCCUCAGGGGUUCCCCAACUGCCUUCCUCCACUCCUCUGCAUCCAGCCAGUCUAUGACACCGGCAUCCCCAGGUACGACUGGGGAAGGCAUCCGUCGGAAAACCUGGAGAGCCACAGCCAUUUAGUGUAGACAGUACUGAGUCAGAUGUGGAGAGCAUUGUAGUAACACCCAGCUAACUCGGUGUAAGUCAGCUGCCAGUGUUCCCACUCUGUUAACAACUGCCUCCGAAAGUGUUAAGUAAGUGUUCUUUUCAAGCUCUUGUUCCGAACAGUUUAUAUAGCACAUGGUACAAAUGAGCAAACAUGCUGCCCUAGAGAGGCGACAACUUAUCUGGAGGGUGUACAUAAUCAGGCAUUUCAGAAGGAAAAGAAUGCAAGUUAUUUACCAUUAAAUCUGUUGCUGCAGGGAAAGAUUUCUAAAACCCCUUCGCCAAGCAAGCUCCUUCCCCGCCCCUGGAAGGUUUCUUCAGCUUCAAAACAGCACCAGCUCAUUAAAAGGCAGGGCAGCCAGGCUUCCAUUGCAGUCUCACACUUUUUCUUUCAGAGUUUGCGGUUUUAUAUGGGUCUCCCGCAAUCCCCCCCUCCUCCAUCCCCAAAAGCAUCCACUUGACUGCCCAGGAACCUACAGCACCAUCGGCUGAGAAAGCUGUGGCGAAGAACAAACUCCCUCGAGUUUGGAGCCCUGGAGGGCAGCCAUGUUGAAACUAUCAUUGUUUCGGCCCAUGUCUUUCAUUAAAGGCUGCCAGAUAAAUAUUUACAGCUGGUCAUGGGAGGAGGCAAGUUGGAGGGACCUCGGCACAUUUUCCUUCAUUUCACUGCUCAUCUGGCGUAGGCUUUUGCAUCUAUGCAAUAUUGCGUUGAAUUUGUCGUUGCUGUUGUCAUCUUGGUGCAUUAAGAAUUGUGAGCUUUCAUUUCAAAAUAAGCCCUAUCUGAAUCCCACUGUAUUACCAACAUGGCAAUGUCUUUUGGAAGUUUUAAGGCAUAUGCCAGAACAUAGUCCUUGGUGUUUAAUGAAUCCCAAAUUUCAAGGGAGCUCCUCCCUGCCUGAUUUUGAAUUGUGUUACAUCUGGUAAUCUCCCUCUACCCUGGAAAUCUGAGAUGCCUUGUGUCAAUGUGGCUUCUGGCCUUGUGGUGCUGCUAUGGAAUGCCAGGUCCGUCUGCAAUAUGUUCCUUCAUACAUAACUGACAAAGUGGGCCUCAGUCCACAAAAGCUUAUUCUACAAUAAAUAAAUCUGUGAGUCUUUAAUCUGUGAGUCUUUAAGGUGCUUUUGGUGUAAUGGACUAUCAUGGCUACCACUCUGGAAAUUGCACUUGGCUCUAGUGGGACAAGUUGGGAAUACUGUUGGUGGUGUGCCCAUCCCACCGAACUGUCUCCCUGAGAUCACCAAGCUGGACUUGGAUCUGGUGCUGAGGACCCGCUGGAUGAUUGUCCUGGGUGUUGUCAACUUCCACGCAAAGGCUGCCUCAUCAGAAAUGGCUCAGGACUUGAAAGUGUGCACUUAAGAGUGCGCUCCAGAGUUUUUCUUUUGAAGAUGGGUUACCUGACACCAAGGUAGUGUCAGGUGAUCACAGUCUCACCAGAGUGGCUUCAAGGCUGUGCACCCAUGUUAAUGGGAGAACCUGAGGUGGACCCCAUGCCAGGACACAGCCUUCAUUGAGUCCCUGAGAGUCCUGACCACUGAAAAUAAAUGCAGUCUAACCUACUGGUUUAAGUCCAGUUUCACCUACUUUGCCUCUCCAAGGAUGACAUCCUUAGGAUGAUAUAUUUUAUAUAUUUAUAUAUUUGUGCAUGGCAACAAGUGAGUCUGAUCAAGCUGCAUUAAAAAAAUACUAUUUUGAUGUGACUCUGAAGGGAAAGGUUACGUGAUGGGAUGCACCAGUUUUGGCUUCCUGGCAUGGCUAUAACCACAAUUUUCAAUCCACGCAGCUUUCAGCGAGUCAAAGUGUUCACUGAGCAUCAACUGGAAUAAAAGAGCUUUGGAGAUGUUUAAAAGGAGCCUGAAAAACUGUCAUGGAGAAUGGGGGAGGUAAAAACAAUCCAUAAUAGACAGCUGGGGAUUCAGCAUACUGUUUAGGUCUCCUGUCUGUGAUAUACAACCUACAUCUGUCCAAACACAGACCCCCUCCCUUUGCUUGCCGAGAUGAAUCAACAACAGCUCAGCAAUGAUUGUUUCCAGCUCACACUGAGGCCUACAGAUUAGAACACUCCGGAUUCCACUUGUCAAACUGUCUCGCUAGGACUUGGCCUGCGUUGGGUUUCAUGGUUUGUUUUUAAAACUCCCUCAGAGAUAUUCGUAUGAAAUUGACUUGUGCUAGAAAGUUUAUUUGGUUUUGGGAUCCAGUAGGCCGAGACAGGGAAACUGGGAGGAAAGGGAAGGCAUGUAGGGAUCUCUGUCCCACAGCCUUAGGGGAAGGGUAGCUCAGUGGUUGAGCAUCUGCUUUGGUGAGAUGCUGAGUUCAAUCCCAGCAUCUGCAGAAAGCCCUGUCUGAAACCCUGGAGAGCCUCUGUCAGUCAGUGAUGGGGGAACCAUAUACAGCACCUUGAGCUCAUUGGAAUAAAAGGAAAUAUAUGGCUUGCUUCACCAGCGCCCAUUCUCUUCAAAGGGCCUCAGACUCAUUGUCUCAGCAGAAAUCUGGAGUUGUUUGUAGUGGAUUAACAAAGGAUGGAUUAACAAAGGAUGGACACAGUGGACUAAAUAUCUAAGGAUGCAGUCAACGGC